rnacentral:lncRNA from 1 species
UUAGGCAAUUCCGUAAUCUUUAUUUAAGGAAAGAAUAAUUGACAUUAAUAAUGAAUUUAUGGUUAGUUUAAUAAAAAGUUUAUUAUAUAAUUAGAUGGACCAACCUAUUUCUCUAGUAAUUCUAAGAACCAUCCUAGUGAUGACAUGUGGCUACAAAAAGAAGUUGUAAUGUUUCACAAAUAAUAUAUAGGGGAUAAAUAAUUAUAGAAUUAUUUCAUUUAAAAAAAAUACUUAUUAACUAAAAGAAAGGCAGAACAAAACGGACAACAUCCAAAAUUAGGUGGGUAGUAGUACUAUAGGCAGAUGAAUUGCCUUUACGCAGAAAAAAAACAAAAACAUUAGUAUGUGUACAGUUCUCCUGCCUGUUAAUUUUGAAUUUUUUUUAAAAUAGGAAUGACAACACAAAAGCAGUUAUCCUACCCAAGUGUAUGAAAUGAUAUUGUCUCAUUCUUCCAUUCAAACAAUUAGUUCCAAUAAAACACCCACAAGAAAUCCCAUGAAGAAGACUGAUAAUACGAACCCUUAGCACCGAUAGAACCACCAUUCCGAAAAGACAAACCUUCGCCACUGAGCAGGAACGACGAAACUAUCCUUCAUCACCUUCAAAAACGAAGAACCCAUAGAAAUCGGCAAGGAAAACUGAUUCUCUGAAAACCCUAAGAGCCGACUGUCGUGGGCGGAGACACGCCAGAGUUAAACCCUAGAAUUAAAACCACGAGCAUAUCGAAGGGGUGUUGGGGACCGAGCAGCAGCAAAUAAGAAACAUAGAUUUAAGGGUGUGGGAGACCUCCGGGGGCGGCACGCGCUCACGCACCACCGGGCACGAGAGAGGACAUUGUUUAUCGAGACUUAACUUUUAGGGAGAAUAGAUGAGAGAGAAAGCAAAAACAACUCCUCCUCCAUUCAAACACCAUGAGACUUGCCUCCAAUCAAACACCCACCAGAGAUCCCCUGAUUCUAGAGAAUAAGAAGAGGUCCUCACCAACACCAAAGAAGAUCCGUAAAACAAAGCCAUGGAACCGACAUAACCACCAUCCCGAUGAGAUAAAUCUUCGCCACUGAGCCAGAACGACGAAACCAUUCUUCACCACCUUCAAAGAUGAAGAACCCAGAAAGAUCAAAAAGGAAAUCUAUUCUCUCAAAACCCUAAGAGACUGCUACCAUAAACCACCACACUGACGACCUUGCCACAUGGAAACGGAAUCAACACAUGAGACGUACCCUUCGUGAGCGGAGACACACCGGAGCAAGCCCCUAAAACCAGAACCACAAGCAUA